AACACAUGUGUAUGUGUAAAACACAUACACACAAGGGGAAAGGGAUUGUUAGUAAUGGAGACUAAAAAUCCUAUUGCUAGUAAUAUACCCAACCAGGUUGAUCUCCUCGUGAUUUCCCCUGGAAACUAUCAUGGUUAAUUCGUGAUGAAUUCAUCAUGAUGAGCUAACUGGCCUGUUUACAUUCUCAUCGAUCACCCUUCACUGGUGCUUCGCCAGCGUAUCCUGUUAGCGCAGGCGGGGUUACCAUUCAAUUUUCACCCAUCAAAAAAAAAAACACACAGAUGUGAAACACAUAUGUACGUAAACUACAUAAGUUAUACAGUAUCGUAAACGUAAUAUAUGACACAAAUGUCUAUAUAUAAGCCAGUAAACUUCAAUAUUAAAUAGGUUAAAACGAGCUGACAAGUAAAUAACAAAUCGUUACAUAGUAUACUUAGUAUGAACGAUUAGUGAGGGUUGCAUGAAGCGUACUAGCCACAGUAAGGUUUCCCUGUGUUGGUUGUUAGUUGUCUUGGAAACCCCACUCUGCUCUUCCUCUCUAUGAACUACUAAUAUCCGGCUGUCAGACCCCUUUUGUUCACAUUGUUUCCGGCCGAACGAUCCAAGUUUAAACUGUGCGGAUUUUUUAAUCGAAUGAUUUAAAAGUUAUUAUUCAAAAAUUUUGCGUGUUAAGUGCAUUAUUAUUUUUGACAACGCUGUGGGAGUUACUUUCCUUUGUAAAAAUAGGGAUUAGCUUCGAAUUAUGGCCGGGUUAUUAGGAUUAAUGUCGGGGUGCACCGUCUGGCGCAUGGCGGAUCACCUGGCGCAUCGAGGCCUGUUGUUUGUUGCCACAAUGUGCAUUUUCCUGGCAGUUUUCUUCGCACGGUUUCACCGUGAGAACAUCGGGGCGUGAUCUACCAGUGAAAGUGUCACCUCACGGUGCUGAGUCUUGGAACGAUUCAAUAAUCUACGUGACGAAGAGUUCGCGGGCACCUGCAAGAGAGAAGUGUUAUGUUGUUUUACCGAAAUCGAAAGUGACGUGAGUAGAUCUGACUAAUUUGUAAUGUAUAAUAACGUGUUCGUAGGUUGUCGGUCUUUAUGGAAGAAAAUAAUGUUUAGCUUCUAAUAUCCACAUAGAUACGCCUGACUAAAAAAACAAAAAUUAAAAUCAAAUAGAUAUUUAUGUAUCUGAUUUAAAUAUUACAUAAUAUUACUUAGCUAGAUGAAAGCUUUUCGUGCUAAAACUAUUUUAUCUGUAUUUUUAUUUU